GCCCGCGUUGUCUAAUGGUUAUGAUAUCAGACUUCUACGUAGCUCGCUUCUCACGUGAUCUGAAGGUUCCGGGUUCGAGUCCCGGCGUGGGUU